GAAAUUCAAACUCCAUCUCUUUCACUCAUCCUCCCACCUACGGCCAUCAAGGGGCUCCUAAGGAGCUUCAUUUUCAACUUCUUGCAAGUGAUUUCUAGAGUACUCAAGGGUGGUUCAAGGUGAUCUAACUUGUCCACUUCAAGGAGCUUUUAUCCACCAUUCCACCCACUCUUCAUCUUCUUGUUCUUGAAGUUCAUCCCUAGCCUUCUGCUAGCAGUGAAUGUUCUUAUUCAUUUAUUAUACUCCAUUUAACAUGUAGAUUAUAGUGUAUAAGUUGGUUCAUCAAGAAACUCACAUUUUAAGAAUGAAAACUCUACACACAACUAACUAAAUCUACUAAAAACACACAAUCUUGAAGUUGUUAGUUGACAAGUUUAUGUUAUAUAUAAAAAUACAUAACACGUAUACUUGCUAGAAGUUGUUAAAAAUAUCAAUUUAGCAAGUGUACAUGUAGAACAAGUAUGAUGAACUGGAUGACAAAAAGUAUUCUUGAAAAUGUUGUUUAAGGAUUACAUAGUUUUUUAUAAAAUUUUUGUAGUUGUAAGAAUAAUAACUCAUAAAUUAUUUUCUACAAGAUGGUAUCAAAGUUGAAAAAUAAUAGAUCUUUAAAAUAGAAGAAUAGAACAAGUUGUGAUUUUAAAGAUCUAUAUGUUUACAAGUAUAUAUAUGUUCAUCAUCAGACCUUAGAAAAAAUGUAUAUUUCUUGUUGUGGAAGAUUAUUACUUAUUAAAGUUGUGGGGAAAGGCCUGGUCUAUUCGCACACGCCUUUUGUCUUUUUGCACAUCCAAAGCACCGCGCUAUGACCAAAGCGCCCCGCUUUGGCCAUAGCGCGGCGCUUUGGAUGUUUUUUUUUAGGCAGAUUGGAUUUGGGUUGAUGUGGAUUUUUGGAGUUGCCGGAGAAGGAUGUGUAACUUGUUGAUCAUCCGGUCCACCAUAAACGGUAGCGGAACUUCUAGUUCACCGUUCAUCGAAAAAGUUAGGGUCACCGGAGAAGGAUGUGUAACUUGUUUUGUGUUGCCGUUGUGAAUGGGAAUUUGUUUUUGAAU
rnacentral:lncRNA from 1 species